rnacentral:tRNA from 1 species
GGGGGUGUAGCUCAACGGGAGAGCGUCUCCUUGGCGUGGAGAAGGUUGUGGGUUCAAAUCCCAUCACCUCCA